rnacentral:rRNA from 1 species
UACGUAGGGUGCAAGCGUUAAUCGGAAUUACUGGGCGUAAAGCGUGCGCAGGCGGUUGUGCAAGACAGAUGUGAAAUCCCCGGGCUCAACCUGGGAACUGCAUUUGUGACUGCACGGCUGGAGUGCGGCAGAGGGGGAUGGAAUUCCGCGUGUAGCAGUGAAAUGCGUAGAUAUCUGGAGGAACACCGGUGGCGAAGGCGGAUCUCUGGACCAGUUCUGACACUGAUGAGCGAAAGCCAGGGGAGCAAACAGG